UGAUCUUUUCUAAGCGUAGUGAUGUGCCA
rnacentral:sRNA from 1 species